rnacentral:lncRNA from 1 species
CCCUAACCCGCCCUGACCCCCAUUAGCAUUGUGAGCAGCCUGUCGCGGCCCUCCCACGCCCCUGCCCCGGCUCUGCAGGCCCGGACGCUCGCGUGUGAAGAGGUUUGCUUGGCUUUUGUAGAAGGAGACCCGUACACGUGAUUCUGCAGCUUGCUUUUUCUCACUGCUCACUCCUACCGAGGACGUGGAAGUGCAAAGACCUCUUGAGAUUUCUAAAUUUGGGCAGAGUGGACAGGGCUGUGCAGGGUGCCCGUGUGCUAAAAAUACCAGCCCGGGUCUGGCUGGAAGCUGCACGCACAGAGCAGGCAAGAUGCGGAACCAGGACUGGCAGUGCACCGGCGUCCUCGAGAAAGCCUCUUCAAUCUCCUCCAGAGAGCCUCGGCGUCUACACUCGUGCCCCCACCCCAGGCCCCGUGCGGAGGGGUGCCAGUCUCCAGCUGAGGAAGACCAGCCCUGAAUUAACGUCCGUGCCCACCUUCCUCUACUUUAUAUGUGGGACGCCUGCCACAGACAAGCAGUACCACGUCCACACCCAGGAUCCAAACCAGUGAACCCGGGGCCUCUGAAGCGGAAUAUGCAAUCUUAACCACUGUGCCACCAGGCAGGCCCCAGUUGUUGUACACAGUUCUUGUCUGUCACCAGACAAGUGCUCCCCUUCACCCCUGUUUGAUCUUAAAAGUGAAUUAAAAAGGGGCGUGUUUACAGAGAGG